CACAAAAUGCGGAAGAAAAUCUUUUCGAUGGACUGUCUUAGAUAUUUACAAAGCAAGGAAAAAAAUUACUGACUCCGGCAUAUUCACGUUUUUGUAUGUGUACGUCCGUAGAUAAUGAAAUGUAAAUUUCCUUUCCGGGUCGUUUUGAGAAUAAUUUUAGAACGGAUUGUGCUAGAUGUUGGGCACGUGAAUAUGAAUAACUCGGCGAGCAGAACAGGGCGAACACAGUUAUCGGUGAAACCUAACACUCUCUUACUCUAGGUUUUCUCCGUACACUUUGAAGAUAAGUGUCUUUUAAAAUAAAUUAAUAACGAUGCUGAAGUAUUAAAGUGAGUGUGGUUGUUUGUGAGUGGGCGGUACACUUUUCUCCCCGCCACCUUUAUUUUGGUUGGGUAGGUUAGAACAUGGGUGGAUGAGUGGAAGAAUGGAUGAAAGUUAGUUUAAGUUUACCCAAGAAAUGUUUAAAGCCAUAAAAGAUCACUUUUAAUGACAGACAUAAAUGAGUCGUGCACGAGGUGCUAAGAGUUUAUUCUUAGAAAAGUGAAUGAGGUAGAUUUUAUGCUUGCGAUUUAGUGAUUACACUAAAGACAACCUUAACAAGAAACUGGACCAAAUUAGCUCAUUAGUCCUGCACAUUUCCUUACAUGCCCUGCACUCCUUUAUUGUAAGUAGUGACAAUUUUUACUUGUUUGACAGCUUUGUGAUUGCCAGUACAAUUUUCUACACACGUGUGCUGGACUGGUAACAUCACUUCAAGAGAGGCCCACUGAAUCACAAACUAAUUAAAAUGAUGGCCUGGAGGAAGUAGUAAUGGAAAGAAUGAAAAAAAAAACAAAAAAAAAACAGUGCCAUUAAGAAUAAUGCUGAACAGCCUCUCUCUGAGACACUAACACUGAAUACUUCAGCCAACAAAUCAUUUUGUAGAAGUGGGCCAGGAAAAGCUACUGGGGCUUCUUUAUAUCAAGAGCAAUGUGACUGGGACUGUCAUGUCAGAAGAUUUCUUUCUUUGUAGUCAUUCUGGUGUGUGUUCAGACCAUAGUGUAUUUAUAUUUAUUUGAAGAGCCUUGUACAAAGUCAGAUUUCUGCCUGAGGAUAAAUAUCUGUCUAUCUAUCCGUGACAUUCCAUGAUCUGGGCUUUCAUAGAAUUCAAUACUAGAGCAUGCCCAUCCCUAUGGAUCAGGGCAAAGUCCUAAUUCCAUUCUCUUUAAAAAAAAGACCAAGAAAUAACACAAACACAUUUGUCUUCCAGGUGGCACAGUGGUAACGACCUGUGGGCUUGCGUUUGAGACCUAAUGUGGUAGGAAACUGCGUUGCCUUGAACCUUUCAAAUAAUUCAUGAAUGUGUUUCUGUCUUGCAUUGGAUACAACACAUGCUCUACCAUUUAGGUGAAGUAGGCAGUCAUCUAGGGUGGCAAAAAAGAGUGGCAUUUCUUUAACAGUCUUACAAACACUCUGACCCAAUACAUUGCCCAAUCAUGUUGUUCUGUAUUAUUUCAGCAUUCUAGAGAAGGUGUUAACAUCUGACAACCUGAACAAUCCACUAAUGUCAUAAACAACAGUAAUGCUAAUUAUAAUGAUAAUAGUAAUAGUCAGUAUGUAGCAGAGAAGAGGCAGACAUGGCAAAAUAAAAUUAAACAAAACGAUAACAGGCCUACAGCUGUUGAUUGCAUUGCUAAAGGCUGAUUUAAUUAAAACUAUAUUCACCUCCCAAAUUGGCUUACUUUAAAGCUUGUUUUAAAACUUGGCAAAUAUCUUUCUCUGUUAUGCACCACCAUGUGUGAGAUUUGUUCUUGGCACAGUAAAGCAUUUCUCCAUAGUCUGUCUGUCACUUGAAUUCUGUUUUCUUUAGAGAAAUUUUAAGUGCUAUAAAGAAGUAAAUAAAGCCUACUAAUAUAGUCAAAUUCCUACUUUUUUGCUGAAAUGGCAUCCCUCAAGAGUAUAUUUUUCUGAAACAGUCUUGUAAAUAGACUUUGCAAAAGUAAUCAACUGCAAAUUUACUGUUUGGUCUCCAAAAUUUCCAUUCUUUGCUGUUCCCUGUCUUGUCUCCUUUUUGUGUCUCUAGGUCUCACUGUACACAUCUGCCAGUGAUGAUUCCAAUCAAAACAAGAUGGGCUGGGGAGUACAACAUAGUUGAGGGCAUCAAAAAUAUUACAAUCAUCUCUGCUUGUGAGUGUGCCCUGCAGUAGACUGUUUGUUCCCACUUUGUACCUGAUGCUACAGGGAUUAACUCCUUCUGUCCUUAAUUGAUCCUUCCACCUAUUUUCUGAAUCAGAACCUACUUAAUCCAGUCUUAGAUUGUGAAGAUGCAGAAUCUACCACAAAUGCAUGAGAUGCUACACAAAGAACAACUACAGGGGACAUAGUGAGGAAAUGUGCCUUGCAUUGAAAUGGAAGCCCAUCCAGGACAGAUGACUGCCUUCCCCCUGAUGCUGCAGGAAUUGGCUUUGGAACUUCAGCAUAGAUAUACUUUGAAAGAAAAAUGACUGAGAUAUAAACUAUGCAGAACGAAUGAAGGGCGCUGAAGGUAUAAUCAGUUACAUCAAUAGAAAAAAACGAGCAGAAAUGUAACCAAGCAGAAAGGUUAAGUGGGUUCACUAAAUGCAUGGAUGGAUGGUUUGGGAAACUAAAUGAAUGAAAAAUGAUUCACAGGACAUUUAUCACAAUCUCUCAUUGUGUAGGAGUCCAUUGCCUGUGCUCUUUGCAUCGCUGUACUAGUAAUUAGUGGUUUAUGUAGUGCAAUUCUGCUUCUUUAAAAUGCUCAAGGGAUUUUUUUAAGAAACUGUCUACUCAUGCAGUAUAUUUACAAAAAAACUAUUUUAGAAUAGCUCACUUGUUCACCACAGACACCUGCACAGCUAUGAAGGACCAGAAACUCGUGCACAGUUGCUCAUCACUAAUGAAGUCCUCAUCCUCAGUCCCUUGCUGACAUGACCUCUGAUACUGUUGCUAAUGAAACAAGAAAAAGAUGAGCUGUCUGAGGCUAUUACUAUAUCUGCCAAUGUCACAGAAAAAUCAUCUUCUUGCAUUUCUAAUUACAAUUAUAGACAUCAAGGCUUCCCCAGCAUUUUACAGAUAACUGUGGGCAUACCAGAAUGCUCAUCCAGUGCCACAAAUCUUGGAGCAAAGUAGAAAGCACACUAGGGAGCUAUUUCCUCACACACAUGGCCACAUUCAUUCCAAUGUGGUCUAUUUAGAGUCACUAGUAAACAGGCAAAUUGUAUACCGACUGCAAACUCCAUGUAGUUCAAAUUGACCAAGUGAGUGUUUGAACCCAGGAUAUCAGAGCAGGGAAUCUACUGUGCUGUUUAUUUUGAAAUAUUAACUGCUUCAUUUAACACAAGAAGUAGACCUGUGUUCAACAUCCUCAUGGGCCCAAUUAAUGGCACCUUUUUAGGGACUACCGGCAGUUUUUUUAUUAUCUGAGAAAGCCAAUCUUGUCUUGUAGUAUUUUUAUUUUGGCAGAGGAAACCAGUGGUCAAGAAAAGAAUAGCUUUUCAAACAAGGCAUGGACCGACAGGCCAUAGAAGCUGUGUCUGCUGCAGCUCUUGUAGUGUAAAUAUGCAGUUGUUUUUCACAGAGUUCAUGAAUAACCACGUAUGAACUGCUUCAGAGUCAUUGUGAAAUGCCAUUCACGGCAAUGCAAACGAGGCAUGUUGUAAGACUGUCUUAAGCAAGCUAGAAGCAAUGCUACCUGUUCCUAUUAGGAUGGUGUGCCUUAUUGUGACAGAAAUCAUAUUUCAUUCAAAUUUCCUGUUUACCUUUUACAAAAUACCAGCUUUGUGUUUAUAUUUAUUUGUAUAUAUGCCUUCCCAGGUUUUUCUCAGGGGAACCUUGAUUUUCCUUCCACAUCCCAAGUUAGAUUAAUUGGUAAC